rnacentral:lncRNA from 10 species
UGAAAAAGAGUCUGUUUUUUAAUUGUUUUCAACUGUUGGGUUAGAAAGGACUCUUACAUAUUGCUGAGUGCAUUGUCAAUUGGUUUACAGUUUAGAAUGCAAUUUGGCAAAAGUAGUAAAAUGAUCUUUCAAGUUUCAUACCUUUUGGACAGUAAGUAUAUUUCUAGAAUUAAUAAGUGACAGAAAAUAGGCCAGAAAUAGUCAUCUCAGCAUGAUACUAUUAUUUGCUUCCUAAUAGGACCACAUUAGACCUUCCAUUAAAAUACUUUUAAAUGGAUUUUUAAAGAUUCUUCC